UUGCACGCUGGCGGCAGGCCUCACACCUGCCAGUCGAGCGGAUGAAGGGAGCUUGCUCCUGGAUUCAGCGGCGGACGGGUGAGUAAUGCCUAGGAAUCUGCCUGGUAGUGGGGGAUAACGUCCGGAAACGGGCGCUAAUACCGCAUACGUCCUGAGGGAGAAAGUGGGGGAUCUUCGGACCUCACGCUAUCAGAUGAGCCUAGGUCGGAUUAGCUAGUUGGUGGGGUAAAGGCCUACCAAGGCGACGAUCCGUAACUGGUCUGAGAGGAUGAUCAGUCACACUGGAACUGAGACACGGUCCAGACCCCUACGGGAGGCAGAAGGGGGGAAUUUUGGAAAAUGGGCGAAACCCUGAUCCAGCCAUGCCGGGUGGGUGAAAAAGGUCUUCGGAUUGUAAAGCACUUUAAGUUGGGAGGAAGGGAAGUAAGUUAAUCCCUUGUUGUUUUGACGUUACCAACAGAAUAAGCCCCGGCUAACUUCGU
rnacentral:rRNA from 1 species